rnacentral:tRNA from 1 species
UCGAAAUUGGUAGACGCUACGGACUUAAAAUCCGUUGGCUUUUUAGACCGUGAGGGUUCAAGUCCCUCUACCCCCA